rnacentral:rRNA from 1 species
GUCUUUUCGAAGUUAAUGAGAAGUCAGGCCUGCUCAGUGAGUUUAAAUAGCCGCGGUAUUUUGACCGUGCUAAGGUAGCAUAAUCAAUAGUCUAUUAAAUGUGGUCUGGAAUGAAGGGUCAGACGGGGAGUAACUAUCUUAAGCUUAUGGAUGAAAUUUAAUUAUUAGUCAAAAUGCUAAUAUAGAUUAGAGGGACGAGAAGACCCUAUAGAGCUUUAUACUUUUAUAGAUGAUGGAAGGAGUUAUUAAGAGUAUUUUGUUGGGGCGACAUAGAAUAUAAACAUUUUAUAUUAUUCUUAUAUAAAAGGAUAUUGAUCCAUUAUUAGUGAUUAUAGGCUAAGUUACCUUAGGGAUAACAGCGUAAUCUUAUUUUAGAGUUCAUAUCGAUAAUAGGGUUUGCGACCUCGAUGUUGGAUUAGAAGUCCCCUAAUGCGCAGAAGUUUUAAGGGGUAGUCUGUUCGACUAUUAAAUUUCUACAUGAUCU